UUUCUUGUUUCCAUUUUAAUUUUUCCCGGUAACCAAGCAGGGGUAAAGGAGCUAGUUCGGCCAGAAAACUAAAAAACAGGGAAGCUAGAAAAUGGAGAAAAAUGAACGAAAACUCGUUUCGAUGAAGAAUUAGCGAUGGAUCAUAGAUCUGUUGAACCAAUUCCAAGCUAUGUCGGAAUCUGAUCCUCUCAUGCUCUAUGGUUUCAUCGUUGUUUCCUUUCCCUUCAUUUGAUGCGGCAGUUGAUAACUUUUGAUGGUAUUUGGUGCCGUUCUGAGCAGAAAACCAGCUAGGGUAAUGAAAUCAAUAUCUUUUUGGACAAUGAAUUAUGUCUCCUGGAUUUCGUAGAGCAAGCAAUGUCUUCAGCAGUUUACUUUUUAUGGUUGAUGAAGGUAAUUGUAACAAAAUUGCUUAAAUUAUAUGGAGAUUGAACUGUAAGUGAAGCUGAAAUUUGGAAAUUUGAAGACCAUAUAUCACAUAAGACAUCUUCAGAAGAUCUUUCCUUUGGGAUUUUUCAGACCUCGGAAGCUUUUAAUGAACAUAUACAUCCGAAUUAGUUCAUCUUUGUUAAAUAUUAACUAUUUCAUAACGUAUCUCCAUGACUAUUUUAUGUGGCUUUCGUUAAAUUAUAUGUUCAAAUUGGAUUGAGGUACUGAAAAGUAGUCUCUAAUUGCACUUUUUCCAAUGUUUGGGGAGUAUUUUAUUGACAAGAAGGUGACAAAUAAUGUUAUGGUGAUUGUAACUUCCAAGGAUGCAUCGUCAUGUUUUCAAGCUUUUGUGGAGAUCAGGAUACCCUGAGGAUAAGACAUUGGAAUGAAGAGUUUGAGUAACAUAGGAAGCAACCGCUGGCAAAACUGGAGUUUGCUGAUUGGGUCCAGAACAUAUGAUUUGGGAGUUUAUAGUCUCCUUUUAAAUAGAAACGUUAUCUUCCCAUUCCUUUUAAUGGCCUACCAAAUUGAAGCCAUGGAAUAUUAGCCAGUUCUUUAGAAAUAAUAUGAUUGCUUUCGUUGUCGAGUGGAGCCACUCAUCUCAUUCACCAUUCCUCACUGUAAUAUAAUGCAGUAAAUGUAAAGGCAUGUAGUAACAAAUGUUGUCGAGUGGGCUUCUCUUUGCUUGAGAUUAGCUCAAGUAAUCGAUGUUGGAAUUUUUUUUAAUGAAAACUGACAUUCUUAUUUCAGAGAGCAA